CCCCCCCCCCCCCCACCACCAAGCUGCCCACCAGAGGCCAAGCUGUACUUGGUGUUUGCCAACAUGCUGUAAUUUCCAGCCUGGUUGCUGUAGCCACAGAGGAAUUUUCAAGGACAAGAACCAGUGCUGGUAAAACUGUGGUCUCUGUGGUUUUCCAUACCGGCUCUCGGCAAGGAUUUUCAAGAAAGGAAUACCAUCUCCAAAUCAUGAUGUGCCAAUAAGCUCCAGUUAGCUGCGGCCUUUUCCCCAGGCGGUAGUCCUGCAAUCUGAAUCCAGGAGAUGCAGCUCUGAAUCCAAUAUUUCAGAAGAAUGAAGAUGAAGCAGACCCAGGAGGAACUGUCUGUUGAAGACCCCCCCCCCCCCCCCCCCCACCACCAAGCUGCCCACCAGAGGCCAAGCUGUACUUGGUGUUUGCCAACAUGCUGUAAUUUCCAGCCUGGUUGCUGUAGCCACAGAGGAAUUUUCAAGGACAAGAACCAGUGCUGGUAAAACUGUGGUCUCUGUGGUUUUCCAUACCGGCUCUCGGCAAGGAUUUUCAAGAAAGGAAUACCAUCUCCAAAUCAUGAUGUGCCAAUAAGCUCCAGUUAGCUGCGGCCUUUUCCCCAGGCGGUAGUCCUGCAAUCUGAAUCCAGGAGAUGCAGCUCUGAAUCCAAUAUUUCAGAAGAAUGAAGAUGAAGCAGACCCAGGAGGAACUGUCUGUUGAAGACCCCCCCCCCCCCCCCCCCCACCACCAAGCUGCCCACCAGAGGCCAAGCUGUACUUGGUGUUUGCCAACAUGCUGUAAUUUCCAGCCUGGUUGCUGUAGCCACAGAGGAAUUUUCAAGGACAAGAACCAGUGCUGGUAAAACUGUGGUCUCUGUGGUUUUCCAUACCGGCUCUCGGCAAGGAUUUUCAAGAAAGGAAUACCAUCUCCAAAUCAUGAUGUGCCAAUAAGCUCCAGUUAGCUGCGGCCUUUUCCCCAGGCGGUAGUCCUGCAAUCUGAAUCCAGGAGAUGCAGCUCUGAAUCCAAUAUUUCAGAAGAAUGAAGAUGUUAGUCAACUCUGUAGUGUUUGUUUGUGUGUAAAUGAUUCCAAUGAGUGAGAUUUAUAGCAAAUCAGGUGUAAAUAAGCAUCUUAUAGACAAUAGUGAAGUGCUGUACUCUGAAUUUAAUGCCAAAUCUAGCCUUCAAAACAGAUUCUUAAAGUAAAUUUUUUUUAAAAAUGGGCAUAAUAAUGCUAUCUCUGCAUUUUCUACAUCAUGUAGCCACCUCAUACAUGAAAACACUAGCAGUUGUCAUGAAUCUUUAAGUUUUGGUGUGUUUUUUGCCAUUUCCUUUGUUGCGCCAU